ACUUGAGCCAAAAUGGCUACGGACCCGCUACGU
rnacentral:ribozyme from 1 species